UACGUAGGGUGCGAGCGUUGUCCGGAAUUACUGGGCGUAAAGAGCUCGUAGGCGGUUUGUCGCGUCGUCCGUGAAAACUUGGGGCUCAACCCCAAGCUUGCGGGCGAUACGGGCAGACUUGAGUACUGCAGGGGAGACUGGAAUUCCUGGUGUAGCGGUGAAAUGCGCAGAUAUCAGGAGGAACACCGGUGGCGAAGGCGGGUCUCUGGGCAGUAACUGACGCUGAGGAGCGAA
rnacentral:rRNA from 1 species